rnacentral:rRNA from 1 species
UACGUAGGGUGCAAGCGUUAAUCGGAAUUACUGGGCGUAAAGCGUGCGCAGGCGGUUAUGUAAGACAGGUGUGAAAUCCCCGGGCUUAACCUGGGAACUGCAUUUGUGACUGCAAGGCUUGAGUGCGGCAGAGGAGACUGGAAUUCCUGGUGUAGCAGUGAAAUGCGUAGAUAUCAGGAGGAAUACCGAUGGCGAAGGCAGGUCUCUGGGCUGACACUGACGCUCAUGCACGAAAGCGUGGGGAGCAAACAGG